rnacentral:rRNA from 1 species
AUCCGACCAAUCUUAAAAAACACAUUAAAUAGAAACACUUAUAUACCUAGCUUCAUCAUAACUUAAACCCAAAAGUACUUAAAAGGAAAGCCCCAAUAACUUAAGGUAGUGGUUAAAACACGUACCUUGUGCAUUAUGGUUUUACAAGCACACAAUUAACUAUAUCAUCCCGAAUACUACGCGAGCUGCCCCCCUAUAGCUAAGAGCCCACUACUAGUUAUAGCAUCAACUUUAGAAAAUAGGGUGACAGAGGCUACAUACCAUACGCGCUAGAUAAUUGCUGGUCAUCGGCAAACCUUAUAAAUUAAACCAUGUAGAACAUCUAUAAUGUUAAAUCUUAGAGGAUAAGCCCUAAGAUUUCAAGCUAAUAACCCUUAACUAUAAACCAUUAGGCUUAAAAUCAGCCAUCCUCAAUACUUUACCGCUCUACACAAUUAAUUAAUAACAACUAUGCCCCCUAAAGCUGAUAUCUAAGAAAAAUAAACACACUUAAAAUAUUAUGUAAAAAUAAGUAUUAUUCCCCAACACAUCACACCUCCAGCCAUAAACACUUAUAAAGGAACUCGGCAAACCCUUAUUUCGACUGUUUAACAAAAACAUUGCUUCUUGAACCCAUAUAAGAAGUAAUCUGCCAG